AUGAACGCUAGCGGCAGGCUUAACACAUGCAAGUCGAGGGGCAGCGAGAUUGAAGCUUGCUUCAAUUGUCGGCGACCGGCGGACGGGUGCGUAACGCGUAUGCAACCUACCCAUAACAGGGGGAUAACACUGAGAAAUUGGUACUAAUACCCCAUAACAUCUCGAGUGGCAUCACUUGGGGUUGAAAGCUUCGGUGGUUAUGGAUGGGCAUGCGUUGUAUUAGCUAGUUGGUGAGGUAACGGCUCACCAAGGCGACGAUACAUAGGGGGACUGAGAGGUUAACCCCCCACAUUGGUACUGAGACACGGACCAAACUCCUACGGGAGGCAGCAGUGAGGAAUAUUGGUCAAUGGACGGAAGUCUGAACCAGCCAUGCCGCGUGCAGGAUGACGGCUCUAUGAGUUGUAAACUGCUUUUGUACGAGGGUAAACCCGAAUACGUGUAUUCGGCUGAAAGUAUCGUACGAAUAAGGAUCGGCUAACUCCGUGCCAGCAGCCGCGGUAAUACGGAGGAUCCAAGCGUUAUCCGGAUUUAUUGGGUUUAAAGGGUGCGUAGGCGGUUAGAUAAGUUAGAGGUGAAAUUCCGGUGCUUAACACCGGCGCUGCCUCUAAUACUGUUUGACUAGAGAGUAGUUGCGGUAGGCGGAAUGUAUGGUGUAGCGGUGAAAUGCUUAGAGAUCAUACAGAACACCGAUUGCGAAGGCAGCUUACCAAGCUAUAUCUGACGUUGAGGCACGAAAGCGUGGGGAGCAAACAGGAUUAGAUACCCUGGUAGUCCACGCAGUAAACGAUGAUAACUCGUUGUCGGCGAUACAAUGUCGGUGACUAAGCGAAAGCGAUAAGUUAUCCACCUGGGGAGUACGUUCGCAAGAAUGAAACUCAAAGGAAUUGACGGGGGCCCGCACAAGCGGAGGAACAUGUGGUUUAAUUCGAUGAUACGCGAGGAACCUUACCCGGGCUCAAACGCAGGGGGGAUGCCGGUGAAAGCCGGCAGCUAGCAAUAGUCACCUGCGAGGUGCUGCAUGGUUGUCGUCAGCUCGUGCCGUGAGGUGUCGGGUUAAGUCCCAUAACGAGCGCAACCCCUACCGUUAGUUGCCAUCAGGUAAAGCUGGGCACUCUAGCGGGACUGCCGGUGUAAGCCGAGAGGAAGGUGGGGAUGACGUCAAAUCAGCACGGCCCUUACGUCCGGGGCUACACACGUGUUACAAUGGUAGGUACAGAGGGCAGCUACCCUGCGAAGGGAUGCGAAUCUCGAAAGCCUAUCUCAGUUCGGAUUGGAGGCUGAAACCCGCCUCCAUGAAGUUGGAUUCGCUAGUAAUCGCGCAUCAGCCAUGGCGCGGUGAAUACGUUCCCGGGCCUUGUACACACCGCCCGUCAAGCCAUGGGAGCUGGGGGUGCCUGAAGUUCGUGACCGCAAGGAGCGACCUAGGGCAAAACCGGUAACUGGGGCU
rnacentral:rRNA from 1 species